GUAGGAGCGAGCUUGCUCGCGAAGCCCUGAAGGGCGCCGCGCUUGCCUGGCAAGCGCGGCUUUCGCGAGCAAGCUCGCUCCUGC
rnacentral:antisense_RNA from 1 species